CGCGGCCUAUCAGCUUGUUGGUGAGGUAACGGCUCACCAAGGCAACGACGGGUAGCUGGUCUGAGAGGACGAUCAGCCACACUGGGACUGAGACACGGCCCAGACUCCUACGGGAGGCAGCAGCAGGGAAUAUUGCACAAUGGGUGAAAGCCUGAUGCAGCGACGCCGCGUGGGGGAUGAAGGCCUUCGGGUUGUAAACCCCUUUCAGGAGGGACGAAGCGAAAGUGACGGUACCUCCAGAAGAAGCCCCGGCCAACUACGUGCCAGCAGCCGCGGUAAUACGUAGGGGGCGAGCGUUGCCCGGAUUUAUUGGGCGUAAAGAGCUCGUAGGCGGCUCAACAAGUCGGCCGUGAAAGCCCGAGGCUUAACCUCGGGACGCCGGUCGAAACUGUUGUGGCUAGGGUCCGGUAGAGGAGAGUGGAAUUCCCGGUGUAGCGGUGAAAUGCGCAGAUAUCGGGAGGAACACCAGUAGCGAAGGCGGCUCUCUGGGCCGGCACCGACGCUGAGGAGCGAAAGCUAGGGGAGCAAACAGGAUUAGAUACCCUGGUAGUCCUAGCCGUAAACGAUGGGUACUAGGUGUGGCGGAUUCAUUGACAUCUGCCGUGCCGAAGCUAACGCAUUAAGUACCCCGCCUGGGGAGUACGG
rnacentral:rRNA from 1 species